GAAAAAGUAUGGGAUUUCAAGGGAUUAAGCUAAUAAAGGUGGUGAGCCCUUUAACAAGGGUAAAGAGAUUGUGCCCAAAGACCGGGAAUAUGAGUAUAUUGAACUCCUAGUAUAUGGGUGGGUUUUCGUGGACCAGCCUAUUAGAGAGGCACGGUUAACCCCGUUAUAUCUUACCUCAAUAUGAGAGGCGUGGGUGGAUAACUCCUGAGGCUAACACUUUUAGAGUUCACUUCACACCAAACCAUCACGUGAGGGUGAACUCAGCCAACG
rnacentral:sRNA from 1 species